rnacentral:piRNA from 1 species
UACAACUGGAAAAACGGCUCGCUAAAA